rnacentral:rRNA from 1 species
AGGACGAACGCUGGCGGCGUGCCUAACACAUGCAAGUCGAGCGGAGUUAACAAGAGGAAGUUUCGGAUGGAAUUUGUAAUUAGCGGCGGACGGGUGAGUAACGCGUGAGCGACCAACCUUGCACAGGGGGAUAACGGACCGAAAGGUUCACUAAUACCGCAUGAGACCACGGUGUUGCAUGACACAGAGGUCAAAGGAGCAAUCCGGUGCAAGACGGGCUCGCGUCCGAUUAGGUAGUUGGUGGGGUAAUGGCCCACCAAGCCUAUGAUCGGUAGCCGACCUGAGAGGGUGAUCGGCCACAUUGGAACUGAGAUACGGUCCAAACUCCUACGGGAGGCAGCAGUGGGGAAUAUUGGGGCCAAUGGGGGAAACCCUGACCCAGCAACGCCGCGUGAAGGAAGAAGGUUUUCGGAUUGUAAACUUCUGUCCUUGGUGAAGAGAAGAAGACGGUAGCCAAGGAGGAAGCCCCGGCUAACUACGUGCCAGCCGCCGC